rnacentral:rRNA from 1 species
ACGGAAGGCAGCAGUGGGGAAUAUUGCACAAUGGGCGAAAGCCUGAUGCAGCGACGCCGCGUGAGCGAAGAAGUAUUUCGGUAUGUAAAGCUCUAUCAGCAGGGAAGAUAAUGACGGUACCUGACUAAGAAGCACCGGCUAAAUACGUGCCAGCAGCCGCGGUAAUACGUAUGGUGCAAGCGUUAUCCGGAUUUACUGGGUGUAAAGGGAGCGUAGGCGGUUGUACAAGUCUGAUGUGAAAGCCCGGGGCUCAACUCCGGUACUGCAUUGGAAACUGUAUAACUAGAGUGUCGGAGGGGUAAGUGGAAUUCCUAGUGUAGCGGUGAAAUGCGUAGAUAUUAGGAGGAACACCAGUGGCGAAGGCGGCUUACUGGACGAUUACUGACGCUGAGGCUCGAAAGCGUGGGGAGCAAACAGGAUUAGAUACCCUGGUA